AGGAGACAGGGGAGGUGCCAUUUUUAGAAACUCAGAGGAAACUGUACACGAAAGAUGAAAUCUACCAGUCGUUUACCCAGCUCCUUUUUCCCUUCUAGAUCGCUAAGCUUUUCGUGAUACUUUGCCAGAUGCUUCCCUGGAUACUGGGCCUUAGAGAGCAGGUUCCAGGCAGGACUAGAGACACUGAAUGCAGUGGCAUUUACUGAAUCAUUUGGACAUGGGAGCAUUGCUUGUUUGCUCAGGCUGAUUGAGAUGGCAUGGAGCCAGGACUGUCAUUACUUCUAUACUGAGUACCUGGCUUCUUUGGGAUGUGAGUACCACUAUGGUUGACUGGUGAUAAGAGCCCUGUCUGUGCAUAGGCUUGGCUUGAUUGUGGAGUUCCUGGCUAGCACUCGAGAGGCCGUCUCUUCUGGACACCACAGUUUUCUAAUCUUCAAGUUCUGUUCAUCAGGACCUGAACCUUUCAGGUAGGCAGGGAAUAAAAGGACCUGAAAAAUGCCAAGAGACAUUAUCUUCUGGCAGCUAGGAACCACAAUGAAAGGAGCCUAAACUUCAGAAACUUUCUUCUCUCAGAGGGAUAUGAAUAUGGGGAAGCUGCUUAAGAAAAAUGUUCCUGUCUUUUGACUGACUGAUAGGAUCCUGUGGCUUCAUGUCCACCUUUAAGGAUGUCUGAGAACAAUUUACAAACAAGGCAGACUGUAUGAGAGAAUGAACUAAACAUAGAGGAUGGCAGUAUGGAAAAGGUUCUCUGGGCUGCAAAGGGGCACAAAGAGCUGUAAUAUGUUUGGGAAGGUGAUGGGUUAAAAUAAGACUGUAGCCAUUGCCAUCAUUUUAAGGAUCUUUAUCUGAUAGAUACAUUGUUAUAUAUAAAAUACAACAAAGACCUACUGUGUGGCAUAGGGAACUCUACUCAAUAUCUUGUAAUAACCUAUAAUGGAAUAUAAUCUGAAAAAGAAUAGAUAUAUAGGUAGAUAUAGAUAGAUAUAGAUAUGUAUAACUGAGUCAUUUUUCUGUACACUUGAAGAUAAUUCAACUUCAGAAAUCAAGUAUACAUAAAAAAAAGAAAAUAGUUAUCUGUGUGUGUGUUUAAUGAGGAAACGAUAGCUUACUUGAGAAAAAGGAGUCACAUUUAGUGAGCUAAACAUGAGACUGCAACCCUAGUAAAGAAGUAAAUAUAUGAAUCACACAGAGUGAGUAGCAAGGAGUAAUCAAUUGUCUAAUCAAAGGUAUGUAUAUGAUGGUCAGAGUUAUAUUAGAAAAACAUGUAAUGUAAAUGAAUGAUAGAGGCAAGUGUUGAAGUUCUUUUAUUAUGGUAAACUGUUCAUAUUAAAAGCAGUUUCCUUAGAAAGAGUAAAGUGACUAAUAUGAAAAGUAAACAACACAGGAAUCAGCAGAUUAUAAAUCUCCCUUUCUUUUGCACCUUCACCCAUCCCAAGAUGAUUUCUAGAGAAAAAUUAAGUUCUUAGUUUGUUUUGUGCAUUUUCAAAAAAUGUAUUUAUUCCACUGUAAAACCAGUUACUAAUGUACUGUGUGUGUAUGUAUAUAUAUAUAUAUAUAUAUAUAGAGAGAGAGAGAGAGAGAGAGAGAGAGAGAAAGACACACUUAUAUACAUGUGUCUCUCUCUCUCUAUAUAUAUAUAUUUUUUUCUCCUUUGACAUUCACAACUGCCUUUUAUGAUGGAUAGCAUUACCUUCAUUUUAGAGAUGCAGAAACUGAGUUCUGCUGGAUGAAGAAACUUGUUCAUAAUCAUAUGAUUAGAAAGUGGGGGAAAAAUCAAGAUGUGGAAGCAGGUCUUUUGACCCUGAGGACAAUGGCUAUUCUCUCAUAACCUUCUGUCUGCUAUUUCCUGUGCAAUUGUGAACCUGAAGUCUGAAGCACAGAAGGACACCCAGGCAGGAAGAAUAGGAGAAGAACUGAAGCAAAGUUGUGGAGACUUCUUCUAUAGUGGAAAGAUAAUGAGAGAAGAGGAAGCUGGAGAGAAAAGGGCCUUCUGAAGCAGUCCCACGAGUAACGCAAUCUAGGCCCAAUGGGGAAAUGAUAACAUCCAAACUGACCCAACCACAAAAGAGAGGAUGCAACGAUAUUAUCAUUCGUGAUCAUUAUUUCUCUCAAGAGGCAAUUUUGUGACUGCAAACUCUGUGCUCUUGUUUGAGACUGGAUGCUAGCUACAAUGCAAUAAUAGGAAUCUUUGAAACAGUGUGGUGAAUGUAUACUAGCACAUUUUUCCCCCUACAGUUUAACUCUCUUUUUUCCUGCAGCUCAGUUCAAGCUAAAACACUUUCCAGUAAAUACUCAGGAAGUCAAAGGGACUGAGAAAUGGACAGCGGAAGUGAUUGGCGUGAAUGGAUCUUUGUGGCUACUGGCUACAUGUUGUCAUCAUGGUUAUUGAACCCGAGGGUACAGGAUUAGAAUCAGUCCAGGAGCAAAAAUAAGUGAGUAUGAGGGGCACCAAUAAAAACCCUCUCCUAAAAUACUUCUCUCAUUAGUGUAGAAGAGUCUCUGAAAGUCACCAGUAGGAAUGUACUGCUUUGGGUUGCUGUUGACUAAAUUUUUUUUUUUUUUAAUUCUCAUUAAAAGACAUAUAUUCUGGAGCUCCCUGAUGGCUCAGUGAGUUAAGGAUCUGGAGUUGUCACUACUGUGGUACAGGUUUGACCCCUGGUCUGGGAAUUUCUGCAUGCCAUGCCAGAGGUGCAGCCCCCCCAAAAGGAGAUAUAUAUGUUUCAAAACGAUAACACACUUAAAUUCUUAGAUCUAUAAGGGCCCCUGAGACCUCUUUUCAUUCACGAUUCUCAGCUGAAAGCAAAGCCCUGUGGCGAAGGGUUCCUCCUAAGGCUACCUGAAAGUCAGUGUGUAGACAGAUGGCUCUACAUCCCUGCUUACUUUGAUGGAGGGAUCAGUGUGGGACCUAAGCAGAGCCUGAACCUCUGUGGACCUCGGAGAGGGGAGUGAGCCUCUUCUCUCCUUUCUGUUCCAGCUCAUCCUUUACACCUGUCAAGGUCUCUGUCCUCUUGCUCACAGACAUUGGCAGCAUCUUUCUGAUGGGCCCUGUCAAAUUACAAAUCUCAUUCACACUGUGGCCCAAUUAGCCUUUCACCAGUGCAACUUUCAUUCUGUGUCAUCCUCAGAACUUUCCUAAAGUUCGCUUCUUACCUUGUGAGCCCCAUGAAAGUAUUUUGAAUUGUAUGUACUAUUUCAUAAUAGUUCUGUAUCCACAGCCAGAUUUCAUGUUCCGCAAGGUACAGGCUGUGUUCUCCAUGACUUUAGUGCAGGGCACACUCAGGGAGCUUUAUACAGAUUAACUUCCUGAUGAAGCAUGUGGGAGCCAGCAGUGAUUUCAUGGGACUGCUUGGCCAUGGAGUUGAUGUUGAGUCCACAGAUUUUUUUCUAUGACUUUAAUAGUUACCAUUGAUUGUAUCUGUUAGUUUUUUUGGUAAGGCACUUCCCAUGGAUUCUCUCAACUCAUCCUUUCAAGAACUUUUCUCACCAAGCAUGUGGAAGUUCCCAGGUCAAGGAUUGAACCUGCGCCACAGCAGCAACCGGAGCCACUGCAGUGACAAAGCCAGAUCCUUAACCUGCUGAGCUACAAGAGAACUUGAAUUCUCUCAACAGCAUUUUAAAGUGGAUGUUAUUUUCCUUAUUUUACAGGUAAGCUAGUCAAUGGUAGGGUUAGAAAUCAAACCCACAUCUUGCUGAUGCUAACUCUAUCAUUUUCAGUAUAGCAUGAUAGUUUUGGUUUCUUUAUUUAUACUGUGGAGACAAAAGCCAUAUCAACAUUUGUGGCUUUAUAGUGCUAUGUACCAGAUAAGUGAAAUCAUAAGCUAGGUACUUUGAUGAUAAGAAGUGGCUUUUUCCCUUGUAAACAAGUACAGGUUUUUUUUUUUUUUUUUUUUUUUGCCAUUGCUUGGGCUGCUCCCCCCGGCAUAUGGAGGUUC